UGCCUUGUUGUUGUUGGGGUUGUAUCAACAACAGCAGCAGCAGCAGCAAAAUGGCUAGCUCGAAGCAAGAACGAGUCUCUUUUCUCGAUCGACGACCUCAGAGCAGAGGCAAGGCGAGACAAAA
rnacentral:rRNA from 1 species